rnacentral:rRNA from 1 species
AGCCGCGGUAAUACGUAUGUCGCAAGCGUUAUCCGGAUUUAUUGGGCGUAAAGCGCGUCUAGGCGGAAAAAUAAGUCUGAUGUUAAAAUGCGGGGCUCAACUCCGUAUUGCGUUGGAAACUGUUUUUCUAGAGUACUGGAGAGGUGGGCGGAACUACAAGUGUAGAGGUGAAAUUCGUAGAUAUUUGUAGGAAUGCCGAUGGAGAAGUCAGCUCACUGGACAGAUACUGACGCUGAAGCGCGAAAGCGUGGGGAGCAA